rnacentral:rRNA from 1 species
ACGAACGCUGGCGGCGCGCCUAACACAUGCAAGUCGAACGAGAGAUGAGGAGCUUGCUCUUCAAAUCGAGUGGCGAACGGGUGAGUAACGCGUGAGGAACCUGCCUCAAAGAGGGGGACAACAGUUGGGAACGACUGCUAAUACCGCAUAAGCCCACGGCUCGGCAUCGAGCAGAGGGAAAAGGAGCGAUCCGCUUUGAGAUGGCCUCGCGUCCGAUUAGCUAGUUGGUGAGGUAACGGCCCACCAAGGCAACGAUCGGUAGCCGGACUGAGAGGUUGAACGGCCACAUUGGGACUGAGACACGGCCCAGACUCCUACGGGAGGCAGCAGUGGGGAAUAUUGCACAAUGGGGGAAACCCUGAUGCAGCGACGCCGCGUGGAGGAAGAAGGUCUUCGGAUUGUAAACUCCUGUUGUUGAGGAAGAUAAUGACGGUACUCAACAAGGAAGUGACGGCUAACUACGUGCCAGCAGCCGCGGUAAAACGUAGGUCACAAGCGUUGUCCGGAAUUACUGGGUGUAAAGGGAGCGCAGGCGGGAGAACAAGUUGGAAGUGAAAUCCAUGGGCUCAACCCAUGAACUGCUUUCAAAACUGUUUUUCUUGAAUAGUGCAGAGGUAGGCGGAAUUCCCGGUGUAGCGGUGGAAUGCGUAGAUAUCGGGAGGAACACCAGUGGCGAAGGCGGCCUACUGGGCACCAACUGACGCUGAGGCUCGAAAGUGUGGGUAGCAAACAGGAUUAGAUACCCUGGUAGUCCACACGGUAAACGAUGAAUACUCGCUGUUUGCGAUAUACUGCAAGCGGCCAAGCGAAAGCGUUAAGUAUUCCACCUGGGGAGUACGCCGGCAACGGUGAAACUCAAAGGAAUUGACGGGGGCCCGCACAAGCAGUGGAGUAUGUGGUUUAAUUCGACGCAACGCGAAGAACCUUACCAAGUCUUGACAUCCCUUGACGAUGCUGGAAACAGUAUUUCUCUUCGGAGCAAGGAGACAGGUGGUGCAUGGUUGUCGUCAGCUCGUGUCGUGAGAUGUUGGGUUAAGUCCCGCAACGAGCGCAACCCUUAUGGUCAGUUACUACGCAAGAGGACUCUGGCCAGACUGCCGUUGACAAAACGGAGGAAGGUGGGGAUGACGUCAAAUCAUCAUGCCCUUUAUGACUUGGGCUACACACGUACUACAAUGGCGUUAAACAAAGAGAAGCAAGACCGCGAGGUGGAGCAAAACUCAGAAACAACGUCCCAGUUCGGACUGCAGGCUGCAACUCGCCUGCACGAAGUCGGAAUUGCUAGUAAUCGUGGAUCAGCAUGCCACGGUGAAUACGUUCCCGGGCCUUGUACACACCGCCCGUCACACCAUGAGAGCCGGGGGGACCCGAAGUCGGUAGUCUAACCGCAAGGAGGACGCCGCCGAAGGUAAAACUGGUGAUUGGGGUG